rnacentral:rRNA from 1 species
UACGAAGGGGGCUAGCGUUGCUCGGAAUUACUGGGCGUAAAGCGCACGUAGGCGGAUUGUUAAGUCGGGGGUGAAAUCCUGGAGCUCAACUCCAGAACUGCCUUCGAUACUGGCGAUCUCGAGUCGGGAGGAGGUGAGUGGAACUGCGAGUGUAGAGGUGAAAUUCGUAGAAUAUUCGCAAGAGCACCAGUGGACGAAGGCC